rnacentral:rRNA from 1 species
GUGAAGAANGCCUUCGGGUUGUAAAGCUCUUUCAGNUGCGAANAUGAUGACGGUAACAUCAGAANAAGCCCCGGCUAAUUUCGUGCCANCAGCCGCGGUAAUACGAAAGGGGCUAGCGUUGUUCGGAUUUACUGGGCGUAAAGGGCACGCAGGCGGUCUUGCCAGUCAGGGGUGAAAGCCCGGGGCUCAACCCCGGAACUGCCUCUGAUACUGUGAGACUAGAGACUAGGAGAGGGUGGUGGAAUUCCCAGUGUANANGUGAAAUUCGUANAUAUUGGGANGAACACCANAAGCCAAAGGCGGCCACCUGGACUAAAUCUGACGCUCANGUGCGAAAGCGUGGGGAGCAAACANGAUUAGAUACCCUGGUAGUCCACGCCGUAAACGAUGAGUGCUANUUGUCGGGACUUCGGUUUCGGUGACGCAGCUAACGCAUUAAGCACUCCGCCUGGGGAGUACGGUCGCAAGAUUAAAACUCAAAGGAAUUUUU